rnacentral:rRNA from 1 species
AAUCAACGCUGGCGGCGUGCCUAACACAUGCAAGUCGAACGCGAGAGGGGCUUCGGCCCGAUUGAGUGGCGAACGGGUGAGUAACACGUGGGUGACCUACCUUCGAGUGGGGGAUAACGUCCCGAAAGGGACGCUAAUACCGCAUAACAUUCCGCUUUUGAACAAGUGGAAAUCAAAGCCGGGGAUCGUAAGACCUGGCGCUUGAAGAGGGGCCCGCGUCCGAUUAGCUAGUUGGUGAGGUAACGGCUCACCAAGCGACGAUCGGUAGCCGGCCUGAGAGGGCGGACGGCCACACUGGGACUGAGACACGGCCCAGACUCCUACGGGAGGCAGCA